rnacentral:rRNA from 1 species
GGGCUGCAAAGAGUAGGUAGUUUAACCUUCGGGGGGACGCUUACCACUUUGUGGUUCAUGACUGGGGUGAAGUCGUAACAAGGUAGCGCUAGGGGAACCUGGCGCUGGAUCACCUCCUUA